rnacentral:rRNA from 1 species
UACAGAGGGGGCAAGCGUUGUUCGGAAUUACUGGGCGUAAAGGGCGCGUAGGCGGCCUGUUAAGUCGAACGUGAAAUCCCCGGGCUCAACCCGGGAACUGCGUCCGAUACUGGCAGGCUUGAAUUCGGGAGAGGGAUGCGGAAUUCCAGGUGUAGCGGUGAAAUGCGUAGAUAUCAGGAAGAACACCCGUGGCUAAGGCGGCUCUCUAGUACGGUACUGACGCUGAGACGCGAAAGCGUGGGGAGCGAACAGG